GCACGAAAGCGUGGGGAGCAAAUAGGAUUAGAUACCCUAGUAGUCCACGCUGUAAACGAUGAAUGCUAGGUAUCGGGGCGACCCGGUGCCGAAACUAACGCGAUAAGCAUUCCGCCUGUGGAGUAUGCACGCAAGUGUGAAACAUAAAGGAAUUGACGGGGGCCCGCACAAGCGGUGGAGUAUGUGGUUUAAUUCGACGCAACGCGAAGAACCUUACCAGGCCUUGACAUCCCUUGCAAAGUACUAGAGAUAGUAUAGAGGUUAUCAAGGAGACAGGUGGUGCAUGGUUGUCGUCAGCUCGUGUCGUGAGAUGUUGGGUUAAGUCCCGCAACGAGCGCAACCCUUGUCUUCAGUUACCAUCAUUAAGUUGGGGACUCUGGAGAGACUGCCGGUGAUAAACCGGAGGAAGGUGGGGAUGACGUCAAAUCAUCAUGCCCCUUAUGGCCUGGGCUACACACGUACUACAAUGGCAGAUACAACGAGUCGCAACAACGCGAGUUGAAGCAAAUCUCUUAAAGUCUGUCUCAGUUCGGAUUGAAGUCUGCAACUCGACUUCAUGAAGCUGGAAUCGCUAGUAAUCGCGGAUCAGCAUGCCGCGGUGAAUACGUUCUCGGGCCUUGUACACACCGCCCGUCAUACCAUGAGAGUUGGCAAUACCCGAAGCCGGUGGCCUAACCGCAAGGAAGGAGCCGUCGAAGGUAGGGCUGAUGAUUGGGGUCAAGUCGUAACAAGGUAUCCCUACGAGAACGUGGGGAUG
rnacentral:rRNA from 1 species